rnacentral:rRNA from 1 species
CCUACGGGAGGCAGCAGUGAGGAAUAUUGGUCAAUGGACGAGAGUCUGAACCAGCCAAGUAGCGUGAAGGAUGACUGCCCUAUGGGUUGUAAACUUCUUUUAUAUGGGAAUAAAACGUUCCACGUGUGGGAUUUUGUAUGUACCAUAUGAAUAAGGAUCGGCUAACUCCGUGCCAGCAGCCGCGGUAAUACGGAGGAUCCGAGCGUUAUCCGGAUUUAUUGGGGUUAAAGGGAGCGUAGGUGGAUUGUUAAGUCAGUUGUGAAAGUUUGCGGCUCAACCGUAAAAUUGCAGUUGAAACUGGCAGUCUUGAGUACAGUAGAGGUGGGCGGAAUUCGUGGUGUAGAGGUGAAAUGCUUAGAUAUCACGAAGAACUCCGAUUGCGAAGGCAGUUCACUGGACUGCAACUGACACUGAGGCUCGAAAGUGUGGGUAUCAAACAGGAUUAGAUACCCUUGUAGUC